GAUGAACGCUGGCGGCGUGCCUAAUACAUGCAAGUCGAGCGAAUGGAUUGAGAGCUUGCUCUUAUGAAGUUAGCGGCGGACGGGUGAGUAACACGUGGGUAACCUGCCCAUAAGACUGGGAUAACUCCGGGAAACCGGGGCUAAUACCGGAUAACAUUUUGAACCGCAUGGUUCGAAAUUGAAAGGCGGCUUCGGCUGUCACUUAUGGAUGGACCCGCGUCGCCUUAGCUAGUUGGUGAGGUAACGGCUCACCAAGGCAACGAUGCGUAGCCGACCUGAGAGGGUGAUCGGCCACACUGGGACUGAGACACGGCCCAGACCCCUACGGGAGGCAGCAGUAGGGAAUCUUCCGCAAUGGACGAAAGUCUGACGGAGCAACGCCGCGUGAGUGAUGAAGGCUUUCGGGUCGUAAAACUCUGUUGUUAGGUAAGAACAAGUGCUAGUUGAAUAAGCUGGCACCUUGACGGUACCUAACCAGAAAGCCACGGCUAACUACGUGCCAGCCGCCGCGGUAA
rnacentral:rRNA from 1 species